AUGAUAGUAAAAUUCAUUGAUGGUCGGUGGGAGGUGACUUAUUACAUUUCUGAGCAUAACCAUCCAUUGGUUGACAAACCAUCUUUAUCUAAAUAUUUGUGGUCACACCAAGGCAUUCCUGCAGAAGAGAGGUUGUUUCUGACAAACCUUCAUAAUUGCAACUUGAGUUCAUGGCGAAUGAUGCACAUUAUGUCAGAGUACUAUGGCACAGAGCUGAUUGUUCCUUAUACUACCAAGCACAUCACAAACCUCAAGUCAAACUUGAACAGAAAUGCAGCGAAGGAGGGUGAUUUGAUUGAGAUAGUUGCCUACUUCGAAAAGAUGCAG
rnacentral:rRNA from 1 species